rnacentral:rRNA from 1 species
AGUGAACGCUGGCGGCAUGGUUAAGACAUGCAAGUCGAACGAUAAGCAAAACUUCGGUUUUGUGGACAGUGGCGAACGGGUGCGUAACACGUGAGCAACCUGCCCUUGAGUAUAGAAUAGCUCGCCGAAAGGCGAAUUAAUACUGUAUGUGACCCUCUACCGCAUGGUAAAGUGGUUAAAGCUUGUAAUGGCGCUCAAGGAUGGGCUCGCGGCCUAUCAGCUUGUUGGUGAGGUAAAAGCUCACCAAGGCUAAGACGGGUAGCUGGUCUGAGAGGAUGAUCAGCCACACCGGGACUGAGACACGGCCCGGACACCUACGGGUGGCAGCAGUUUCGAAUCAUUCACAAUGGGCGAAAGCCUGAUGAUGCAAUGCCGCGUGGAGGAUGAAGGCCUUAGGGUCGUAAACUCCUGUCAUUAGGGAACAACAAAUAGGUUUAUAGCCUAUUCUGAGUUAACCUAAAGAGGAAGAGGUGGCUAACUCCG